GAGAAAGAACUCGGGAACUGCUAAUUCACGUACCCAUGUGUAAAUACAUGGCUUCCUCA
rnacentral:tRNA from 1 species